GACAGGUGCUGCAUGGCUGUCGUCAGCUCGUGUUGUGAAAUGUUGGGUUAAGUCUCGCAACGAGCGCAACCCCUAUCUUUAGUUGCCAGCAUUAAGUUGGGCACUCUAGAGAGACUGCCCGGGUUAACCGGGAGGAAGGUGGGGAUGACGUCAAGUCCUCAUGGCCCUUAUGCCUUGGGCUACACACGUAAUACAAUGGUGCAUACAGAGGGAAGCGAUCACGCGAGUGUUAGCAAAUCUCAAAAAGUGCAUCUCAGUCCGGAUUGGAGUCUGCAACUCGACUCCAUGAAGUUGGAAUCGCUAGUA
rnacentral:rRNA from 1 species